GAACCGUCCAAACGUUAUUCGGAAUCACUGGGCUUAAAGGGUACGUAGGCGGCGCUGUCAGUCGGGUGUGAAAUCCCACGGCUCAACCGUGGAACUGCGCCCGAUACUGCAGUGCUCGAGGGAGACAGAGGUAAGCGGAACUGAUGGUGGAGCGGUGAAAUGCGUUGAUAUCAUCAGGAACACCGGUGGCGAAAGCGGCUUACUGGGUCUCUUCUGACGCUGAGGUACGAAAGCUAGGGUAGCGAAGGGGAUUAGAUACCCCCGUAGUCCUAGCCGUAAACGUUGAGCACUUGAUCGAGGGCCCCCCCAUAGGCUCCCGGUCGAAGCGAAAGUGUUAAGUGCUCCGCCUGGGGAGUAUGGUCGCAAGGCUGAA
rnacentral:rRNA from 1 species